AAAGUACUCCUUCCGUCCCAAAAUUCUUGUCUUAGAUUUGUCUAGAUACAGAUGUAUCAAGUCACAUUUUAGUAUUAGAUACAUCCGUAUCUAGACAAAUCUAAGACAAGAAAUUUGGGACAGAGGGAGUAGUUG
rnacentral:pre_miRNA from 1 species